UUCUACCCUCUGGACAACAUACCUGUUGGAUGUACUGCCUUGUCUUACAUGAUGAAGCAGCCCAGACCGAAUUUGCCUUAAGACAGAUAGGAGUAACGCCUUCUGAGUUAUGUAAUUGGGCAGGAAGGAUGGAUUGUUCUCGGGCACCCACAUCCAAUGGAACUAUCUAGAAGCCACACAAAACAUGUUUUAGACAGCCGGCGUUCCAUUUCUCUUUGUAGAGUGCCUAGCAAAGACCUCAAAUCGCAGGAUCAAGACAUGGAGACUGAAUGACAUAUGGAGAAAAAAAAUCGACACACAAUUGUCAACACACUACAAGGCAGCAGGGUGACAAAAGCCCGAGAUGAUAAACAGGCGAAAUUUUGCAUAAUUAGGUCUUCGAAUUUCUUCAGUUGUGAAAUAUGUGUGACUCACGUGGCUGGCGAGGCUGGGCGUGGGUUCGGAAACGCUCACCUCUCUUAACCUGAGUGUGGGAGAAGCCAUCCUGGCUCCUUGUUUGCCAGGCCCCUGCUGUUUGCUCUGCCGGGUAUUAUUAACCAGCAGGUUUGACAGGAGUUCCUUGUUUUUCCGCACUGAUAUGAUUUAUUUUCUGAGUUGCCUGAACAAACAGGUUGUUUGGGCCAUUGUGUGGAGCAGCCUGGAGGUGGUUUUUGGAGAAGAGAGAGCUCUCUUCUGAGGAAGAAGUAUUACCCGGUUGCAGUAACUGUUGAGAAGUGAUUGUCUGGAAGUCCACAUGUCGGUGAAGCCAUGGAGGGCGGGGAAGGAACCCAUCCGAUUGAUGUGAAUGGUGGAGUGUCACUCAUUGGACCAGCUGCCCCUGAAAAAAUUCUCAGCCAACACUUCCAAACCUCUCUCCUCGCCCAGCCACCCCUACGAGAUUGGGAGGGAUGCGGUUUACACCGGAACCUUUGGCGCUUAUUAUGAAGACAUCAAAAAAUAUUUUAUCUGUGGGCAGUGAAAUGAAGUAAGAAACGAGGCUGUUUGUAGGAAAGCAUCAGCCAUUAAAUGAUCAAACCUGGAAUCAGAGCGCCCGGCUCUGGCAUCAUUAGCUUCAUGGCCUCAGACCCUCUCUGAGUCUCAGCCCUCGCCUGUAAAGGGCUGCCAGGGCAUUUAAAUAACUUGCUUGAAACAGCUGGGAUAGCGUCUAGUUCUCGAAGUGUGGUCCCCAAACCAGCAGCAUCAGCAGCAUCUGAGAACUUGUUAGAAACGCACCUUUCCAGCCCCACCUCACCUGCUGAAUCAGAGCGGGCAGGGAGGAAGCGACAGCAAUCUGUUUUUAUAAGCCCUCCAGGAUCUCCUUGGAGAAGACAAGACACGCAGUGCCCUGUGCCCAUGCAGGGGACUACACUUCAUCUACCACUGGCCCCCAGUUAAUCUGAGUGGACGGUAACUUCCUUCCAUGCCCUGCUUGCACAGUUAUGACGGAAGCCCUCAUUGCUCCUGGAAUACUUCCUGGAGACUCAGACAAGAAGGGUCACUCCCCCGGGUGCUGUGCUAUGGAGGGACCAGCAAAUCAGAAACACAAAAAAUUGUUGAAGGACACGCGGUGACUCUGUUCAGCAGGACGUGGUGCUCAGCACUGAAUAGUCAACCCAGAACCCCAGACGUCCACUCUCAUGACUGACAGUGUUCAAGCCCCAGGGAAACGCUUCCCCGAAUCUCUUCUGCACACCUCUUCCCUAGAUCCCCAAACAAAAGGCAACUCCCCGAGAGCUACUAAACUUGGGGCUUGUGUCAUUACUCAUGUAUGAGAAAAACACAACUUCCUUCACAUUGCCGAGGAAUUUCAGUGGGCAAGGGUUAAGGAAAGACAUAUGAAGAAGCUUGCUAUUCUGGGCUGAGUUGUGUCUUCCCAAAAUUCCUAUGUUGAAGACUAGUGCUUCAGAAUGUGACUGUAUUUGGAGACAAAGUCUUUAAAGAGGUAAUUAAGUUAAAAUGAGGUCACUGGUGGGCCCUAAUCCAGUACAAUCGGUGUCCCUAGAAGAAGAAAAGAUGAGGACACAGAUACACACAGAGGGAAGACUGUGAAGACAUGGGGAGAAGAUGGUUGUCCACGAGCAAGGAGAGAGGCCUCAGAGGGAACCAGCUCUGCUAAGACCUUAAUCUUGGACUUCUGGCCUCCAGAACUGUGAGGAAAUAAAUUUCUGUUGUUGAAGCCCCCAGUCUGCGGCAUUUUGCUGCGGCGGCUCCAGCAAGCCGACACACUUGCCGAAGUUCUUCCCCUCACACACUUCCCAGUACUGCCCUUUUCUUUCUUCUCUUUGCAUUCCAAUUUACGGUUCCUGUAGCACCUUCAGAUGCUGGCCCUCGGCCUGUACUUUAAAGGGCUCUACCCUGGUCCUCCCUUGACUGUGCCCUUCCUCGCAGGCCUAGGACAGAGGGCCCAGGUGUGCCCACCUGAAGCUUGCGUCUCCUCCCACCCCAGAAUUCCCUGUUCAAAUAGCCCUGAGCCCAUUACCAGCGACCGUGGUGGCCUCCUUCUCGCCCUGCUGCACACCCUUAAGCUGGAGAGCUGCCCAAGGGUUGCCAUCUAUAGUCAGAUCUUGGACAUGUAGACUACAGUAUAUACAUGCAAGUGUGCAAGACCCACGUGGGCUGGGCUGGAGCUGGAAGGUGGCAAGAGAAGGGGUGAAGUGUGGGGCUGGAGGCUGGAGUGCUGUGACUUUCUGACAUGGUUCUUCGAGAAGCUUAAUUUGAACUUGACCUUCCAUGUCCUUAUGAAGGUAUAUUCAGGGGCUGGCCCGAUGGCAUAGAGGUUAAGUUCACGUGCUCCACUUUGGGCCUGGGGUUCACCGGUUUGGAUCGCAGGAGUGGAUCUAGCACACUUGUCAAGCCACACUGCAGCGGCAUCCCACAUAAAGUAGAGGAAGAUGUGCACAGAUGUUUGCCCAGUGACAAUCUUUCUCAAGCAAAAGGAGGAAGAUGGGAAGAUGUUAGCUCAGGGCCAAUCUUCCUCCCCCGAAGAAAACCCAGAAGGUAUAUUCAUCAAGAUCAGGGAAUAGAACACAUUUUAUUUUAUGCUUUGUUAGUGUGAUUUACAACCUUUAUAUAUUUAGACACGUGCUACAUGGGUCUUCACAUCUUGCUUCAAACCCCACAAAUGCUAGGAGUACGCUUGGUGGUUCUGGAAGACUCAUGAAUUACAGCAAUAUUUGCCACUGCUGCAUGUGGAGACUGGCGAAUGUUUCACAAUAUUAAAGAAUUCACAUUACUCUUAAAUUUGUAUACGUAUAUAGGUCUAGACAUAACGUGUGAUAUCAACUUUAAUAUUAGCAAUGAGGAGGAUAUUAAAAUUAAAAUUGUAAAUACUUGUGUUUUUAUAAACAUUUAAUAUGAGUUCAUUAAAUAUUUUAAAACCUCAACAAAAAUUUUAGUUGGUUUAAAUAAUUUUGAUUUUAACUCUUAUUAUACUUUAUAAUUUGUAUUUUGUUUAAAUUUAAUAGAUUAUAUUAACUAUUUCAAAAUAAAAAUACAUUUUUAAAAUGUACAUAAAAUUUUAUUUCCUUUACAUUACUAUGAUCUAUGAUUUUUGACAAAGAAUACAUUAAAAUUGUGUACACUUUGAUUAUAAUUACAUUUUCUUUUUAUUGCAUUAGAAUAAGUAAAAACUGUGAUCAUGAUAGAAACAGAAAACGCAACAGUGGAGUGCGGAAAGAAAUAACAAGCCUUUAGAUGGAGAGCAUCCAUCACUCAUGCGGGAAGCCUAUCCUGAGAUCUGGCCACACCUAUCCCCGGGCCUGGCUAGGUGACCCUCCGCCAGGCCCCUGGAAUCUCCUGUGUGCACCCCCAGCUGCACUCACCAGACAGAAGCCUCUGCUCCGUAUCUCCCUCUUCCAGGAUGCCGUCGACAUCUUGAGGGCAGAGAUAAUUCUUGCUUAUGUUUAUCCUCCUAGCACCUAACACAAUGCCUGCUGUAUCAGGCCCUGAAUAAGUGUUUAGCGGAUGAAUGAAUGAAUGAAUGAUUCAAGAGCGAACCAGAUAUGGCUCCUCUCCUAAUGGAGCACAGUCUAGAAGAGGAGACAGAUAUGUGAAUAGAGAGUUAAAAUGCGUUGCUUUAAAUUGUGUUAUAAAUAACAGUGAGAGUUGCGUGGAAACUCUGAGCAGAGACCCUAACUGGGGCCCCGCUUCGUCAGGGGACAGCCAGCAGCUGCACAGGCCUUGCACUGAGAAGGGCCUGGGGCUUAGUUUACUGCUCUGUGGUCACUGUCCUGAAGUUCCCCAUCAUUGUUGAACAGGCACAGCACAUUUUUAUUCUGUUCUGAGUCCUGCACCUAACCCAUGUGGAUAUAAGGUGGGGGACGAUGGGGGGAGAGGGUCUGAAAGGACAUGGUCACUAGAGUUAGCUAAAUGAAAUGGGACCGGGAAGGGCACUGGGGGAACCAGGGCAAAGAGAAGUGCAUGCACGGAGGCUCAGAAGUAGAGAGCUCAGCCGGCACUUCACCUUGGCUGCGGCCGGCACACAGGAAGGAGCAGCGUGAAAAUCGUGUCAUGCUUCAGUGUGGGUUUUACACGGAAGCCAUGCAAAGGCUUUGUAUGGAUUCAGGCAGAAGAGUGACACGUUCAGAUUUGCAUUUUAGAAAGUUCAGUCUUGGGACAGUGUUAGAAUCUUUCCCCUUUUGCUGUUGGCAAGGGAAGGAGAUGGGGAGGUGAUGAAAGAGCAGAAGAGGCCGUAUCAGAGAAGGGCCUCCACGGUAGCCCGGGAGAGAUGAUGCCCGGGGUGAGCUAGAACGUGCUGUGAGAAUAGAAAAGAGACCUGAAGGAGCGGGAUCAAUGGGACUUGUUGAUCCGCAGGAGGACAGACGGAAGGCGGGGAGAGAAGUCAGGCAGGACUCCCAGAUUCCAGUGAGUCAGAAUGUUUUGGGUUUUCCCUAAGUAUGGAUUUGUUCUCCACUUACUUUCUUGCCAAUGGAACAUGAAAACACUCCACACAUCUAAAUGACUACUUUUUUCUGAGUUAUUGCUCCAUCCAACCAUGAUCUUUGUGUUGUCUCUAGAACUUAGAUGCUUAUAUUAAGGGGAAUUUUGCCAGGCUCUCUUAGAGAACAGGCUGGGCCUCGUGAUUUUGGCAGUUAUUGGAACAGCAAUAGCAGACCUCAGCUUUCUGACAUCAGGCGACUGCUCAGCAGGGGCCCUCCUCUUUGCUGGAUGGUCCACGAGUUACUUCUCAGCAAUGUCUCCCAACAGCGUCAUCUCACAGAGAUCGCUUUCCCAUAUUUGGAGACAAGAAAACAAUGACUCGGGUUAAGCAAAAGCUAAUAAGGAGAAAAGAAGACAUUCAAAGCCAAGUUUUCUGAAAUCGUGUUCUUUACUCUUUCCAUCAAAUGACAUUUGCCUCAGGGGGUUAAACCAAGAAACAAACCGAUUGAACAAACAGAUUAGCUUCACUGAAAUGUUUCUGAGCUUUCUUCCUUUGCCCAUUAUUUAUGUGGUCUCAGAGAUGGCUGGAAAAAGGUAGGAACAGUAAAUAACGAAAGAGGAAAGAGAGCUGCAAGAGUAGAAGAGUUACGAGGUUCAUUGAACAACCACCGAGGCAGAGCAAGCCUGGGCGAGAUGACGUCAAUGUGGUCAUGAUGCGGUCUUGAAGAAUCAUGGCCAUUCAACUCUAAAGAUCAUCCACUCCUUUGGGCCAGGGACCAUGGUGUUUUGUUUGCUGCUGGAUCCCCAGAGCCAGGAAAAACCCAUGUACUACUGCUGCUGGGAGUCCUAAAAAUGUAAAAGGAAGACUCGAUAAGCUCUGAUAGGUAUGCAAGUAAUUUUAGGGAAAAAAUUUUGCAAAGAUUAGUGCAUUGUAAGCACUGAUAAGGAACCUUACAAAGCUAUGUUGUAUUUUAUGGGUAAGGCGAUGCUGAAUGAACCAUCCAGAGGAUUCUUCAGAUGUGUGAAAACUCUCAUUCCAUGGAAGAAAAUCCUAACUGUUAAUGCUAUAUGCUUUGAUCCAGAAUUCAGGAGCCAGGCAGUCCAACCAGAAAAAACGUUGUCUUUGUUUAGUUCUUUGAUAAAAGCAGAACUUGCUUUACUUCAAAUGCGAACACUGUUUGUUCCUAUGUGGAGGAAUAUCAGGUUCAUUUCACACUGGGGAAGGGGAAACAUAUGUAUUGCAAUUCAGAUGCCUAAAAUUAAUACCUGUGGAGAAGCGGCAACAUAUAUGUCACCUACAGUAAGGACAACAAUGGUGAAUACUGAGUAAUCCCGGACAUUUACAUUUUUGUAUAUGCACAUCGACUGGUUUUAAUUAACUAAAUAAAAAACUGAAAAGAAAG
rnacentral:lncRNA from 1 species